AGAGAGAUUUCAGAGAAAAAGCCAUAGGCAGGUCAAUCUUAUCUCUCCGAUCCCCAAACCAAAGGCUGAGGAAGAGAAGAAGCCUCAGGAAAAAGAGACUCAAGCCUGAAGAGAAGAAAAAAGAGUGUCUUGUUCCUUCCUGAAACCUCCAAGACUCAACCUUUCUUCUCAAACCGUCUAUUGUAACAGAGAGCCAUGCCUUGAGGGAGAAGAGAGAGGUUACCGAGAGAAAAUCGUGGCUCGGAUUCCCUCGGCGUCGUCGCCGGAGAGGGGUGUUGUUGUUGUUGUUGGUGUUGCAGUGGUGGUGGGGUCGGGGGUGGCGUGGGCUAGAGUCCAUCGAUGCCCUCUAAGAUGCUUCAAAAACACACGGAGAGAGAGAGUGAGAGCUCUAAAGAAGAAGGAGAAGAAGAGAGAAUAUGGGGCAAAGAGAUAAGACGAGACUGUUACUUUUUAAUAAUUCAAUAAUUCAAUAGCUCUUCCUUUUUAAUAUAUCUAUAUAUACACACGCGCAUAUGUGUGCGUGUACGUGCGUUAAUUAUUCUAUCA